rnacentral:rRNA from 1 species
AAUAGAUACCCCGGUAGUCCACGCCGUAAACGAUGAAUGCUAGGUGUUAGGGUUUCGAUACCCUUGGCGCCGAAGUUAACACAUUAAGCAUUCCGCCUGGGGAGUACGGUCGCAAGACUGAAACUCAAAGGAAUUGACGGGGACCCGCACAAGCAGUGGAGUAUGUGGUUUAAUUCGAAGCAACGCGAAGAACCUUACCAGGUCUUGACAUCCCUCUGACCGUCCUAGAGAUAGGGCUUUCCUUCGGGACAGAGGAGACAGGUGGUGCAUGGUUGUCGUCAGCUCGUGUCGUGAGAUGUUGGGUUAAGUCCCGCAACGAGCGCAACCCUUGAUCUUAGUUGCCAGCAUUUCGGAUGGGCACUCUAGGAUGACUGCCGGUGACAAACCGGAGGAAGGUGGGGAUGACGUCAAAUCAUCAUGCCCCUUAUGACCUGGGCUACACACGUACUACAAUGGCCGAUACAACGGGAAGCGAAACCGCGAGGUGGAGCCAAUCCUAUCAAAGUCGGUCUCAGUUCGGAUUGCAGGCUGC